CCUACGGGAGACAGCAGUGGGGAAUAUUGCACAAUGGGGGGAACCCUGAUGCAGUGACGCCGCGUGGGUGAAGGAGCACCUCGGUGCGUAAAGCCCUAUCGGCAGGGAAGAAAAGCGAACAGGUUCGCCUGGACGGUACCUGACUAAGAAGCCCCGGCUAACUACGUGCCAGCAGCCGCGGGAAUACGUAGGGGGCAAGCGUUAUCCGGAUUCACUGGGUGUAAAGGGAGCGUAGACGGCGGCGCAAGUCUGGAGUGAAAGCCCGGGGGCCAACCCCGGGACUGCCCUGGAAACUGCGGCGCUGGAGUGCGGGAGGGGCAGGCGGAAUUCCUGGUGUAGCGGUGAAAUGCGUAGAUAUCAGGAGGAACACCGGCGGCGAAGGCGGCCUGCUGGACCGUGACUGACGUUGAGGCUCGAGAGCGUGGGGAGCAAACAGGAUUAGAUACCCGAGUAGUC
rnacentral:rRNA from 1 species